GGCAGGUGGUUUCAGACUUGGCUUUCCCCCCUGGUCUCUUGUUUUAUUUAAGAUGACCAAAAUUUGUGUGAAAAGAUGCAAGGUGAGAAAAUGAAUGAGGGAAAAACAUGGAGACACACAUAUGGAAAAUGAGAACAUGAUUACAGCCUCUGCCUUUCUCUCCCACAGGCUUGGGGAAUGAACUGCACCAGUUAGCAUGUUCAUUCUGUUCCCUUUGCAUGCACAACUUCCUGAAAACAGGCUAGUCAAUGAAGAUUUUCUGGUAGCAUCCAAAUGAAGGAAAAACAGAAUUCAUAUGAGAAAGAAGUACGUGUGGAAAAAGAGAAAAAUUGAUCAAGGGUAGGAAACUGCAGUGCAAAAUUUCAAGGAUAAAUCUGUUGACUACAUCUUUGGAAUUCCUUAUGUCUGCGCAUACUUCCAAAAGGAAAUCACUGGCUCCCCUGAAGUUUCUUGUUAUUUCUGCACUGGAAGACUAAGCCUACAUCAACUAGUGUUCUUCCCUCCUUAGUGAAGACUUGAGGGUUAUAAGUAGUAUAGGUGUGCAUGUCCAGUUCAAGAGCAAGAAAGACUACUGCACACAUGCACUAAACACACACACACAAUAUGAAGAUGCCUACUGCUUUGGCUUAGCAUCUCCAGAACACUCUUUAAUCCUCGUUUAGCUUAUUAAUAUUGUACUUUAAGAUAAAAGCUAAACAUGAUUAGAUAUUAAAGGUGAGACUAAAUAAAAAAGGAAAAAUAAUUAAAUACAAGUUUCAGUUGUACAUUACAAUGCUUUAGCAACCAAAUGCAUAACAAGUAAGUAGUCAUCCUAAAACACUGAUUCUCAAGGUCGCAGCCCUCCUGUUUGGCAUAACUAUCAACAUAUUAUAGAUAUAAAUUCAUUCAUAUUGGAAAUAUGAAUAAUAGAGACAAUAGUAGACACAGUUGCCUUGAUACUAUGGUAAGUACAGAAGCAGUCAUAUGGGUAAGUAGAGUCUAUACAAUGAUUCUCACCCGAGCCCUAUGUAGAAGAAAAUCACACCAAAGGUGAUAUGUCCUUUCAGUCUGUGAUUUAAAUAUGGCCAUGCCAAAAGUAGCAGUGAAAAAUGAGGUAUUCAAUAACGAAGGGAGCCAUAUAAGCUAAACAAAGACAGCAUUUAGCUUGGCUGGCAUAGAAAAACAUACUUCUACUUAACACCUUUUUUUUCCCAAUGAACUUUUUGCUAAAA